UACGGAGGGGACUAGCGUUGUUCGGAAUUACUGGGCGUAAAGCGCACGUAGGCGGAUUUGUAAGUCAGGGGUGAAAUCCUGUGGCUCAACCAUACGGACUGUACCGCAUACUGGUUAUCUAGAGGAUAUGAGAGGCAAGUGGAAUUACCGGUGUAGCAGUGAAAUGCGUAGAUAUCGGUAGGAACACCAAUGGCGAAGGCAGCUUGCUGGCAUAUUUCUGACGCUAAGGCACGAAAGCGUGGGGAGCGAACAGG
rnacentral:rRNA from 1 species